AUUGAACGCUGGCGGCAUGCUUUACACAUGCAAGUCGAACGGUAACAGGGUGCUUGCACCGCUGACGAGUGGCGAACGGGUGAGUAAUGCGUCGGAACGUGCCGAGUAGUGGGGGAUAACGCAGCGAAAGUUGUGCUAAUACCGCAUACGUACUGAGGUAGAAAGUGGGGGACCUUCGGGCCUCACGCUAUUCGAGCGGCCGACGGCUGAUUAGCUAGUAGGUGAGGUAAAGGCUCACCUAGGCGACGAUCAGUAGCGGGUCAGAGAGGAUGGUCCGCACCGCUGGGACUGAGACACGGCCCCGACUCGUACGGGAGGCAGCAGUGGGGAAUUUUGGACAAUGGGCGAAAGCCUGAUCCAGCCAGGCCGCGGGUAUGAAGAAGGCCUUCGGGUUGUAAAGGACUUUUGUCAGGGAGGAAAUCCCUAGUGCUAAUAACACUGGGGGAUGACAGUACCUGAAGAAUAAGCACCGGCUAACUACGUGCCAGCCGCCGCCGUAA
rnacentral:rRNA from 1 species